ACUAAAGACUUGAAUUAACAGACUGGCAAAAGCAUAACAUGUGCCAAGCAGGGUAAAAAUGAAACUGUACAUCAAUAAUAAAGAUCAAGCUUAAAGGCAACCAAAGAAUGCAAAAAGUGUCAGGCUAUUUUUAUCUUCAAAAACAAUAAAUGUCAGUAGCAAUCACAGUGUAAAAGUGCUGAAAGAAAAUAACUGCCCAACUAAAAUACAUAGCCACUUUCUGAACGCAAUCUUAUAAAGACUGAGUGCUCUCCCCUACACAGAACUACUUCAAAAGAUUAACUUCAACAAGAAGGAAAGAUUGGAAAUCAAAUAUUUUAAGCAAAGAAGUAUACUGAUAGAGCUCAAUAAGCUCAAACUACAAACAAUAGUAGUAACUAUAUUUAGGAUUUUAAAUAAGGUAUGUCUAAAAGAGUAGACAACAAUAACAGAUUCUGGAAAUGUAAAUCUUGGAGAAAGUUACACAUGCUUAAGUAUGUAUCUUGUUUUGGAGAAGGAAAGAAGGAUGAUCAACUUUAAAGUUUUAUGGAAAAACAUAAAAUUAGGUAUUUUGUUAAAAUUGUAAAUGUAAACAACACAAUUAGAAUAGAAUGGAUAUUUGCCAUAUCAGUAAAAGAAAGGGAAGGGAAAUAAGAUAAUGCAAUGGAAGGCAAAAAAAAAAAGAGAGAGAGAGCAGGUGAGCAGGUUGGGGGUGAAACAAAGGCAUGGCGUAUAGACUGUAAGGUAAUGAAAUAAGCUCAAAAUGUCCUCAGUCGCAGUGAAUAACCAUAGACUAAUUAUGCCCAUCUAAACACAGGCUAUCAGUUUGGAUUAAAAUAAAUUUUUCAGCAAUAUGUUACAUAGAAAACAUAUAUCUAAAAUAUAAAAAAGACAGCCCCUUCCACUCUAUGAGGACACAGUGAGAAGGCACCAUCUAUGAACCAGAUAGCGAGUCCUCUUCAGACACCAGAUCUGCCAAUUCCCUGAUCUUGGACUUCCCAGCCUCCAGAUGUAUUUAAACAGUCAAGUAAAAUCAAGCUGGGUAAUCAUGGCAGAAAGUGGGCUUCAUCCUUAUGAAUAUGUUUGUUCUCAUGAAUAUGCGAUGAGAAGGCUGACCAGUCUGUUGUGGCAGCCCCAACUCUGCUACACAGAGACAGAUGCCUGCAAGAAUGACCAGGACCCUGUGAUGAUAAUGGCAUCAGCGCUACUAUGAUCUUGAUGGCCUGACUGGUGACUGCAGUGAUCUUGUUCCUCCUGAGACCUCCUAAUCGAAGAGGAUCCAACGUAUCUGAAAAGCCAACCAGUCCUCAUAAUGAACAAGAUCCACUUGCUCCUCCUGUGGCUAAUUUUGAGAUACGGGAAGUGAAGGUGGUUAACACCUUGCAGGACCAAACGAACAACAAUGACCAGAGUACUCUUAAUUCUAUGAGAACUGCUUUUCCUUUUGCAUUUGCAAUAUGGGAUGGGAUGGUUUCCAUGAGCUUCUAGAAAUUUCACUCGCAAGCUUAUUUUUACUUCCUGUAUUCCUAUAAUUUCUAGUUACAGCAUAUUUGAGUAAAUGAUUGCAUUUUUAAAAGUUACAUGGGGUUGGUUGUCCUAAAUUUAAGUAUUCCACUCAUUCUGCUUGUAACUGUGAUCAUAAUUUUUGUGAUGAUUUCUGGCCUGAUUGAAGGAAAUUUGACCACUCUGCAUUUAAAUAUUUUAAAUAGUUUUGAUAGCUUUUUUAAUUCCUUUUUUAUAAGGUAUUUAUAAAGUUAUUUGGGGUUGUCUGGGAUUGUAUGAAAGAAAAUUAGAAUCAUACUGUAUUUAUAUUUACUUUGGUAGGUGAUUUGUGGGUGGCAGUUUUCUCUAGUUCUUGGGACUAUGGCAGUUCUUGGAAUAUUUUACAAAUUGCAGCUGAAACCUGUAUCAUCCAUUACAACUGGCUUAUGUGGCUAGAGUAGAAGAAGAGAAGAAGCGAAAUGGUUGUUUACUUUUUCCUACCCCCAUUAAAAAUGUCUAAUAUUAAGAAAACUUUAAAUAAACAUGAUUGAUCGGUAUGGUAGGUGAUUCACAGUCCAUUAUCUGACUUCGUAAUGUAGCCUUACACAGUUCAUGAACAGAGGAAAGCAUUCAUUCUUUCUGUCUUUGCUCAGUAUAAUCUGUAUAGUAGUAAUUUAAGCUAUGAUUUAUGUUUAAAAUAAGUCCCUCUUGGGAAACUUCUUUCCUGUGCUAUUUCCCUGUUAAUAUGAAACUGUCUGAAAGCUAUAUUAGGGCCUGUUAGGUUACUAACAUUUGAAUGCUUAUUUACUUAUUUACGAUAUAAUUUUAUUUUAAAGUCUUUGAGGCUUUUAUUAUCCUUAUAAUGACUUAUUAAAAUUUUAAUGAAUUAUUAGUUUAUUUCAAGGAAAAUGAGAAGCAGUCAAGGAUCUUCUCCCCUCUUAUCUCACUCCUGUUUUACUGGUAAUGGGAUGAGUUGAAAUGAGAAGGAACAUUAAUAUAAUUUUUAAAUGUAUACAAAAGUAAAAGUUGCAUUGUUUUGCUCAGUUUGAAACAAACUGAAUACAAAUAGCAUUUUAAAAGUCUAAUUACAAAUAGCAUUUUGAAUACAAAUAGCAUUUUAAAAGCAUGACCUAUAUGGCUGUGGAUAUUUUUUCUAUCAAUUGGUUGCAGAUGAUUUAUGGGGACUAGAAGAUAUUUUGAUAUCAAUGUAAGGAAUUUUUCCUCUGGCAGUCUAGCUUUUUACUUUAUAAAUCUGAGAAAUUACUUGUAUAAACUGAAUAGACUUCUGUAUGUCAUUGUACAGUUAAAAAACAUAGAGAGGCAAAAAAUUGCAAGUGAAUGGGUAGAAACAGGUAACAUCAUGUGUACAUUAACCAGAAAAUUGUUGCAACUAUAUUACUAUCAAACAAAAUAGAAUUUAAGGCAAAAAGAUAAGCAUUAAUAGAAACACAGUGAGGCAUCCCUUAGUAGUAAAAAUGAAAUGCUAUCUGCCUCUCCUUCCUUCUUCUCCGAGAAUUGUUGAAAAUUUCACACCCUUGGAUCCAGCUCUUUCAAUUCUAAGUCUAGAGAAACUCCUGCACACGGAAAUAACGAGAUCUUCAUAAGACAUUAUUUGGAAUAACUUCAAAAUGGAAAGUACAUACGUUUCCACAGGGAGGACAAUGACUAUGCCUGGCAUGUUUCUCGGAUGUAAUAUUACCCAAUUAAAAGGGAAUCAUCUAGAUCUAAAUGUACAAGUAUGAAUAAAUAAGUAGCACAUAGAAUUACUUAGAAAACAAAGGCAGAAGGAUAGACCUAGUGUGAUGCCAUUGAUGGAACUUAAAAGCACACAGUCACACAGGCUAAAUAAUGUUGAUGGAUAUUUAGUAUAAGUACAAAAACAUAAAUGGUAUGGAUACAUACUAAGUUCUUGUUAGUGGCUGCCUCUGGAAGGCGAGAGGGAGGAAAAUCAAACUGAGAAAUACCGCAAUGCAGACCAAAUUCCAUCUGUCAUGUGUUCCCUCAUAAAAAAAUUAAAAUAUCUGAGUUAAGCAUAAUAGCAUAUUGUUAGUUCUGGGGUGGACACAGAAUUUGUUGUAUUGGUCUUUGUACUUUAGUGCAUUUAUUUUAAAAAUUCAUGACAAAAGGAUGCCUUUUCUAUAUCUUGCCCAUUCAAAUAACCCUCCUACCCAUCAGUCCCUAGGAAAGUCCAUGAGUAGACAGCCUUCAGGUGAGGCCUGAUCAAGUGGUUCUGAUGAUAAUGCCAAGGACUCCAUUUCCUUUUGUUAUUCCCCUCUGCCUCCCCUGUUGUCUGAUUCAUCUUGAAGAUCCCUACCAUGUUCUCUGAACAGCUCCAGUUGUUUCCCUUACAAUUGCAAAUGACUGUGGCACCUGCAAGCCUCACAUUCUCAUGUCAUGCUUUCCAGGGGACAAGCGGGUGUCUCUCCAAAAAGCUUCCUCACAAAAAAAGAGGAAUCCCUCUUUCCCAGAAACCCUAGAAAUAGACUCCUUACAUGGCCUAUGUGUCUGUCCCUGGGCCAGUCAUUAUAGCCAGAGGAAUGAGUGAUAAGGGCCAUGUGGCCUGGCUUGUUUAUCUGGACCCACUCCAGAGGCUAGGAGGGUAGGCACCCAAACCUUGUGUUUGAUCAUGAGGUGGGCAGUUUCCAUAAAACAAAAUCAGGGAAUUAUUGGAGGGAGCUGAGGGCAACGGAGGCUGAAGCAGCAAUUACAAAUAUUAACCCACAGAUCCCUUAAUACCUUAAUUAUACCUUAUCACACACCAUGCCUGGUUGAUUUAUUUUAGUCUUCUCCACUUGACUGUGAGGACAAAAUGUUUCUGGUUCAUUCUUGAUGCCAAACUGUGCCCUCCGUGCCUCUACCACAUAGUUAGUUUCCAGUAAGAGAUUCUUGAAUGGAGGGGUAACAGCUAUCCAUCUAAAGAGUGACCUGAAUGCUCCAGAGAGCACAUGAUAUCAUUUGAAAACAGGGACCUCAGAAAUCUCUGGUUCUCUGCAUUACAGGCUUAAGUCUUGUAAAACUGAAAAAUAUCUUCCUGUGAUGACAGAUAAAUGUGGGUCAUAUACAGCACUUUCCAAGCCCCUCUCUCUCACUUGGAUCUCAGAAGUGUGUUCACAAGAUCUUAUGUUUUUGGAAAAUUUGGAAAAGUAAAUUAUUUGCCCCAAAUUGGAUAAGCCUGCACGCAUCUCUCCACCCUAGCAUCUCCUCUACCACACCUUUUUAUAUGUUGGGUAGCACUCAACUGCCAGGAACACUUUGGGGUUAGAGAGACACUCAGUUUGGUUCAGUGGGUUUCACAUGAGUGUGUGCCAUUGCUUCAUUAUACAGUGAUAUUAUACUGUCCUUCCAGGAAUACUCCUGUUGUUCACUCAGAAUUAUGUACAAAGGCAGAGAGAGGGCUAGAGAUCAUAUCAUAUCAUCAUAUUAAAAUGUCCUAUAGUGCCUGGCAGUGUGCACAGUGCUGCAGAAACAAAGUUGGAUGUGUAUGGAGCCAGGUGCUAGUCUGUGAAAAAAAUUUCCAGUCAUCCUAUGUGUAACAUUGUAAUUGGAGGAUUCUGUUUUCAUUGGUGCUGAAUCCAAAUGUUCAAUAAUAAAACACACAUUUUGAUUAACUAUGUGACUAAAUUAUAUUCAAAUUUUAUGAAUAGAAAAUGAUAUGUUAUCAGCUAAUAAAGAGAUGAUCAAAGAGUAUGCAACCAAAACAAGUAGGCAAAAAGCAUCAGAGAAUAAUUAAUACAAAGAUGAUGUUGUUUUUCUGGAUUUCAUAAUGUUUAUGAUAGUUGUCAACUUUUCUUAUUCAAAAAAAACCCUUAUUUUUAUAACUAAUUUUAAUUAAAAAUUUUUCAUUUUGUAUGAAAGAGGACUCCCCAAAUUAUAUGAGUUUCCAACUUCAUAAAAUCUAAAUCUGCCUUUGUUCAUAUCAGAUAAAAAUAGGCCACACAGACUGCCAAGUAGGUACCGUCUUGGAACUGUCUGUGGUGCUGGACCCAAGGUUCACUUGGCUCUCUCCAUGGUACUUACUGCCCAAGCCAAAGCUGCUCCUGGUGGUGAAUAGUUGGGUUUAUUAAUGGAAGUCAGGCUUAAUGUCAUAGGAAUGGAUGCUUUUAUCCAUGGAAAAAGUGUCUCAAUAGGGUUAAGGAGAACACUACAGAUGAUUCUUAAGUAUUGGGGACACCCAAAAGAUAAGGACACCAAGAGUAUCAGCUCAAGGAGAACUCACCCCAAACCAUGCCUGAGUUUGCAUCAGGGGCAGAGGGGAGGAGGGACCUGGGGUGAGGGAGAAGAACCUAGGAUACAAUACACUGCAGGUGGGGGCCUUCUGAAAGGGGAAGGGAGAAGAGGGUGACUGAGAGGGGUGGUCCUGAGAGGGCCCUGAGGGUCAGAACAAAGGCCCUGCCCACUGCGUUGGUGGAAGAUUUGCUGACUGAAGCUGAGAUAUGACUGCAAAGUCCCCAUUCAGCUGAAAGCCUGUAGGAAUUGGAAUGGAAACAUGUGAUGUCUUUGUAAAGGUCUGCCAUCUGCUAAAGACUGCCUCUCUGGCCUAGAAAGAGCAUAUGGAAGAGCUCUUCAUGACUGGGUUUCACCCACAGAAUUUACAACUUUGCAUCCAGGACAGUGGCAGAGGGAAUUUCCAUGUUCACACCAGAAUAACUACUGCAACGGGCUAUCCACAAGGGCACAGUAAUAACAACAUUGGGAGGCUCAGAGCAUCUACAUGAGUUCAUUUGAGGGCAACUAACAGUAAGAAAUUACAAGACCUUCAUCCCUCCCAACACUCCCAUCACUACUCUGAGGAUCCCCCAAAUCGAAAAGAGACUACUUAAUGUAGAAAGCACCAGGGCACAGAAUCCACUCAGGAACUGCAUCCGUGAGACAGAGCCUACCAGAAAUGGUGCAGACAUGCUCUCACCCCUUGAAACUAGACUAGUUUCAAUGUGUGGGAAGACACAGCUCCUCACUUCUGAUCAGGGGGCUUUAUGGUGCAGGCUGGAGACUGUAUUCCUGAGUUUGUUCCCAAUAUAGUAAAAUAGGACAUAGAGCCAUAUGACUCUGGUUUUCCACAGGUGUUGAAUGAAUCCAACUCACCACUAAGGACUGCCCAAAGAUUUUUAUGACACAAACUACUUUUUGCCAGUCAAUAUCCCUUCUUUCCUUCCAAUGUUAUUAAGGUUGACUGCAUUGCCUGCCUUGCAGUGAGGUGUGGCCAUGUGGCUACACACAGGAUAAUGAGAUGUAAGCAGACAUAGGCCUCUUAAAAGAAGAUGACUGAAGAAGGGGAAGAGUUAUUUUGCCUUCUCCCAUUUGCUUCUAAGUCCAGUGACAUCCAGAGCUCCAGGGGCCCUGGAGCUUAGGGUGCCCUCGAGACUGGAACUCACCUGCUAAAGAUAGAGGAGCAAAAAGAUAGAAGCUUGAGUCCUCAGAGAGACUACAAAGCCACAACACCUGUUCUGGACUGUCUACCUCUGGACUUCAUAUGAGAGAAGUAAACUUCUGUCUGCUUUAAGCCACUUGUUAUUGGAGUUUUUGCUGUCAUAUCCCACUGAACUUGAUACUAGUUGUUUCGGAGACGGUCUAAUACUUACGCUGAUUGAGACUGAAUGGACAUCUUCUGGCUGAUUUCCUCUUGGAACAUUUUGCUUUGUGUUCUAAGACACUGGCCUGAGAGGAAAAGGAAAUUAAAGCUCCUGUUGUGAAUGUCUAUGCUUGUUCUCUGCCUCCUGGGAAGGUAAUCAUUGCCCAGGCCCAUGGUUUACAAACAGGGACUAUGUUGCCCUUCCAGUGUCCUCAGUUAGAACCUGUAGAACAGUGGAUCUCAAAGUGCUGUCUCAACACCAGCAGAACAGCCACAGCUGAGAACUUUUUACAAAUGCAAAUGGUCCAGCCCUACCUCAGACCUGCUGAAUCAGAAAUUCUGGGGGUGGGUCCCACAAUUUGUGUUUUAACAGCCCCUCAGGUGACUCUGAUGCAGGAUAAUGUCUAAGAACCCCUGGGUUACCCAGAGGAAUUAUACGCAGUACCAGUAAAACAGACAGCAUCAUCAGGAACAGCCAAGAUUCAAGGCAUUUUUAGAGGGUCUUGGGAGAAAUGAGGGCUUAGUCUAUCAAUGUUGGGAAGUGGACAGAGGAAACAGGAUUUAAUAAAUGCUCACAUGGACUCAGGAGUUUGAUGAUCUUCACUGUUGCCAAGAAAUUCAAGCUUAAUGUGAAAUUCAAGCCUUUCAACUAAAUUUUGGCUCUUACCUUUGCUUUUUGGACGUGACCUCUUUCAAAGAAUGAAACAUAUGGAAGCUCAAUUCAUUAUGGUCAUAUCAGUGAAAGUAAUAAUUUUCUAAACACUAGGGAACUCUUCCUUAGGAUCAGCCAGCAGAGGCUGACACACAAGGAGACUAAUUUUCAGCCUUGAGCAUAGGUUCCAUUUGGGAAGCAACUCAAAAUAUCUGCUAAGUGGGUCAUAUAACAUAGCCUGGUCAUCUCCUUUAGGACUAAAAGAAGAGGUGGGUCUGGAGAAAGAGGAGCAGGCACAGCCUCUGAAAGCAGAACUAACCAGUGUCCCAGCUUGGGAACACCCCCCUGAACACCUGGGGGCAUCUGGUGAGUGAUCCACACAGCCCUAGCUGAUUGCAGGGCUCACAGACUAUUAGGCUAAAAUCCAUCUUUUCAUUGACUUGACUUCUUCAGAGUGGCCCACCUGAUUGUUGGAGGAAGCUGGCCCUGCAUUUGCUGUAGACCUCAGGCCUGUUGUAGUGGGCAUUUAUUAUUCCCAGGAGUUUAUUGUUAUGUUUAGAAAAUCUUCAGGCUUGUGACCCUGACCUCAAGGUAGAAUCCAGAAAAGUCCAAUUUCCAGUCUUCCUUGUAGCAAGGACACAGCCAAUCCAAUGGUGUUGAAACUUUGAUUCGGAAGUGGGCCACUUGAGGAAGGGGGCUGAAAGUGGAAUCUCAUUUGAUGGUGAGAACAGCAGCAAAGCUCUCUGCUUUCAGAGGUGGCAAUAAUUGCAAAGUCAUGUCCCUGGCAUGGAAGAGACAUCACUGGGGUGGCGGCAGCAACAGUGGCAGCAGUUUCAUCAUCAGUCAUGCAGCAUGAUAUGGCUUCAGAUACCUUUUCUAGUUUCUCCAGCCUUACAAGAAUUCUGUGACCAGCUCAACAUCUUUUUCAUAAACUCAUUUUCUGACCUAGCAAAAAUUAUCUUCUUUUGCUAGCAACGAACAUUAUGACCAAUAUGAAAAUGGACACUGGGAUAGUGACAAUCAACAGAACCUCCAGGAAAUGAGGGUUACCUUGAAUUGGUUAUCUGGUCUGGCUGGGACUGAUGGUUUGGAAUAUCCAGAAGUAUUAGGGGAUGGGAUCCUGGAAGCCAAGGAUAUACCUGUAGUUACCCGGGAUGAAAUGCUCUCUGCAGUCAAUGUUUUGGGAUAUCUGGUAGGUACUCCCAAGGUACAAUAGGAAGGUCAUGAUUCCACUCAGUUUCCAUGAUCCUUGGAGAUCCUUUAAGGCCAAGACUUCUAAUUUACUUUUUGAGUUCCAUCCUAGGCUCACUCAGGCCCUCUCUCGUAUUUCUGCUUUGGAAUCUUAAAGGCCACUGGGCCUUGUAUACACUGGAUUACUCUGGGAUGAUCAAGUUUUGGGGGUAGUCCUCUCCCCUUCCCCCUCCUCUCCUCCCUUCCCUCCACUUAUGCCAAGUUACAGCCACCAGGAAAAAUGGCAAAACAUUUAUUGAGUCAUCUACAGCAGUCUGACAUCCUUAAAAUCCUGGACAAGAUUGUGAGCACAGCAUUAAUGGCAGGAGCGGUAGCAGUAAGGUCUGUGGGGCUUAUCUUUACUGUGGGAGAUGAAACCCAGGCUGGUCCAGCUCCCACGAGUGAGGCAGGAACCAUGUCUGAGAUGCCAGGGGCUGCACCACUCCAGCCCUGACAGAAGCAAAGCUACAGAAGACAGACAUCAGACAAGACACACAUAGCCAAGUGCAGAAACAUCCCAAGACUGUGAGUUCAGGAAAAGAAGGAAUGGGCACACCAAAAUGUCCCAGAUCCUUGAAGUUGACUCCCAGGGGCAUGGCUGCUAUCACCCAUAUAGAAGUAUCCUCACUCUGAUCCCCACAGAAAACUGAAUCAGCUGAUGCAGGUAAAGCUAGAAUUCUGUGUCCAUCUGAGCCCUCUGGCCUCCCAUUACUCCUGAUGCUGGUGGUUUUUCAAAUGAAGCAAAGGUUAACUUAGGAGGGCUCAAAGCAGUAGAUAAA